UUUCACGUGACUUUAAGUGUGACACAUUUCUGUGAUACUAACCUGUUGUUUCAGGCUCCUGUCCAUGCUUGUGGGUCUGGAGGGGACCAAAACAUAAUGCUUCAGUGGAAAUUUUGUAAUCCACGGGCAGCUUUCUGGAACUUCAAGUGUUAACUUCAAACCAACUCCUGUCAUUGUUCCGGGGGUACUCCAGUGUCACUUGCUGAUGUAGAGUCCUCUCAGCCCUGUGCACCACACAGAUGGAAAAUGGAAAUGAGAAAUUACAGGUUAUAAAACAAAUUCUGGCUCCCUUUUUCACUUCCAUCACUUCCUCAAGGCCAGAAACUAUGACAAUAAAAUUGAUAAGAAGC